UCUUUAGGAUAAGUAUUUUCCAUGCACUAUUUGAUACAUAUUUAUCCUAAAU
rnacentral:miRNA from 1 species